UCUGAUUCAUUUGUGUGAUUUCUCUGCCAUAUCUUUCGGCACAAGCUACACUUGAGAGUACAUUCCCCCCUAUAUAGCCUAUGUAAAAUAAAUAAAAGGGAACGUUGUAGCUCAUUAGUUAAUUUGUGUAAAGAUAACAGGGAGUUGCAUAGGGGGAGGAUGAUAGAGGACCAUGCUACAGGGCAUUAGCACUGGAAACUGCUAAGCAUCUGGAAACAAAAUAUAAGCAUAUAAUGGGCGCUUUCAGUUUUCAAAGAUCACACUAUAUCUAACCUUGGUUACUAGUUCGGGUAAGGUAUGUAUUCCUAUGGUUGCAUAUACGGUGAGCGUAUCGAACCGAUUUUUCUUUAUGGAUAUGGCUUUAGCCCCUUGCUACUUGGUAAAACCUAGCUACAUGCGUCAUCUUCAGGUUAUUAUAAUAAACACAGGUGAUUAGGUAAGAGUGAUGAGGUGGCAUGAUUAGCCUAUCAUGUUGCAUUGCUUUCUGGUAAUUGUUCCGGUUCCAUUUGUUAUUAAAUUAACUAGUAUCAGGUUAGCUACAUUGUUUUCGGCCUGAGGUUAUGCUAUUCUCUCCUCAUACAUUUUCGAGAAAGAAUGAUCAUGCAGACAUCUUCUUGUGUAUACAUUUUUAUCUCUUUUAUGUUCCUACUGUAAAAAAGAUACAAUGCAUUUCACUAUGUACUCCCAC
rnacentral:lncRNA from 1 species